GCCCCUCAGCGGCAAACGGGUGAGUAACACGUGAGUAACCUGCCCCUGGGAAGGGGAUAACCCUCCGAAAGGGGGGCUAUACCCUACAUAGCCGGGGACCACUAAGGUCACCCGGUGAAAGGUGGCCUCUGCCCUUCACGGGCAUGCUACCGCCCAGGGAGGGGCUCGCGGCCCAUCAGGUAGUUGGUGGGGUAACGGCCUACCAAGCCUAUGACGGGUAGCCGGCCUGAGAGGGUGGCCGGCCACAGUGGGACUGAGACACGGCCCACACCCCUACGGGGGGCAGCAGUGGGGAAUCGUGGGCAAUGGGCGCAAGCCUGACUCCGCGACGCCGCGUGGGGGAUGAAGCCCUUCGGGGUGUAAACCCCUGUCGGGGGGGACGAUGUGUCCUGGGGUGAAUAAUCCCAGGGCAUGACGGUACCCCCAGAGGAAGGGACGGCUAACUACGUGCCAGCAGCCGCGGUAAUACGUAGGUCCCGAGCGUUGCGCGGAUUCACUGGGCGUAAAGCGUCCGCAGCCGGACGGGUAAGCGGUGCGUCAGAGCCCAGCGCUCAACGGUGGAAAGGCGUACCGAACUGCCCGUCUUGAGGCACGCCCAUGCAUGCGGAAUUCUCGGUGUACCGGUGAAAUGCCUAUGUAUCGGGAGGAACACCACACUGCGACAGCAGCCUGCUGGGGGCUGUCCUGACUGUC
rnacentral:rRNA from 1 species